rnacentral:rRNA from 1 species
AGUGAACGCUGGUGGUAGGCCUAACACAUGCAAGUCGAACGGCAGCACAGUAAGAGCUUGCUCUUACGGGUGGCGAGUGGCGGACGGGUGAGGAAUACAUCGGAAUCUACUUUUUUGUGGGGGGUAACGUAGGGAAACUUACGCUAAUACCGCAUACGACCUACGGGUGAAAGCAGGGGAUCUUCGGACCUUGCGCGAUUGAAUGAGCCGAUGUCGGAUUAGCUAGUUGGCGGGGUAAAGGCCCACCAAGGCGACGAUCCGUAGCUGGUCUGAGAGGAUGAUCAGCCACACUGGAACUGAGACACGGUCCAGACUCCUACGGGAGGCAGCAGUGGGGAAUAUUGGACAAUGGGCGCAAGCCUGAUCCAGCCAUACCGCGUGGGUGAAGAAGGCCUUCGGGUUGUAAAGCCCUUUUGUUGGGAAAGAAAAGCAGCAGGUUAAUACCCCGCUGUUCUGACGGUACCCAAAGAAUAAGCACCGGCUAACUUCGUG